GUAUUGAUCGCGUAUCACCGCAAAAAGAAAAUACAUUCUACACUGCUUUAAGGUUUGUGUGAAAAAACGUGGGCCCCCCCUUCCAGGGGAACUCACGCGGUUGUGCACAAAGGGGUGAGAUGGAUGUGUGAGAGUGCUCGGGCGUGCACGACCUUUAAAAAGGUCAGCGACAGCCCUCGCACCCCCGUUGUAUGAUAAUGAUCCUUCCGCAGGUUCACCUACGGAAA
rnacentral:misc_RNA from 1 species